GCAGUGGAAGCGAGGACAUCUUUUACUGGAGAUCCCUGCCUACCUGAGGCCUUCCAAAGGUUGAGGAGCUGAUGACAACGUGGUUAUGAUGGCUUCACAUCUUCUAAUGCAUCAGCUGCCCUGCUGCAGGCAGCUCUGACUGCACUAACUCUGCUGUGACUACAAAAUCACGUGAAUUACUAAAAGAUAUGCCACAAUGUCCACCCCUAUUGCAAGAUAAAUGUAACAUGUAGCUGUUACACAGUUUUUGUUCCACCACUGUAAAUUGGAUGACCAAGCCCUUGGGGGGACAUAUGGAAACAGGAAUCAUAGGAAAAGUUGAGCAAAGCAAUUCAGAGAAAGAAAGCCAGCUUUGCAUGUUCUUUUCUUACAUGUCCAAUGCUGUUGUCAGUUCUGAUAUUACAAACUAUUACAAGUCUGAAUCCUUCCUAUACAAAGAGAUCUUAUUUUGUGCUCUGCUUUCUGUUCACGCAACCUCUGCAAUUUUAUUUUCCACUGACUCUGCCUCUGUAAGAUGAACUGUAUGGUUGGAGUGGGACUGGGGGGAAAGCAUUUUGGCUAUACACAUUUUAUGCUAUUGUUCAGUCCAGCAUGUAUGCUGGCAAUGACUGUACCCAUUUAACAACAUUAUGGCUAAGCAAUGUACUUCUACCUUUUCUUCUUGAUAGCUUCAGUUUUAAGGAGUUCUUAAGCUUUGACAAAUUUUGGCAAAAGCUAUAAAUUGACUUCAUUUAGUACCUGGUAUUUCCCUAAGGCAUUUAUUUUCAAAGGCUCUUAGGCUUCUUUCUGUACUUUUGGUAGAUUUCCAGCUUUUAUGUCCUUGCAGUAAAAUGGAAAUAACACAGUUGGGUCUGUAUAAAUAGCUAUAUAAUAAUAUAUCAUCGGAAACUUAGCUAGGGGAGGACCCUGUGAAAUGCAGUUGUAACAGCGUUCUCAGGUAAAAUGUACCAGACAGAACAAACAAGUAGAGCAAGACCAGGAAUAUUCUUCAUUUCUGACAUGAAUACUGGCAACAGAGACCGGUCUGCUUCUACACAAACCAACUAAAGCAGCUGGAAAAUGAUAUAUAAAAAGCCCAUAUACUGGGAAAAACCUGAUGUAUAAUGUACUGCAGAACGUCCCAAAGUGGUUUAGAGAGAAUGUAGAGUAAUUUUAUGGUACGAGGAGACAGGGUGGGUGGCACAAUGACACUAAAAUAUGUAAUGCUCCCAGUAAGAAUCCAAGGCAGUCUGUGGCAGGUAGUGUAAGAGAUCACCAGGCAUCGCGCUGCUGGCAGAUGGCAAUACAGAAUCACUUUGAGCCAACAGGAUUGCCUUCAUAAUUGGUGAGGAGAGUACGGGUAAAAAAAAAUAUAAAAAAUAAAAGUCAGCACUCUCCCUUUUUAGGGAUUAGAGGUAUUAUUUCUGAAUUAAUAGGAUAUUAGACAAGUAUGAACACACUAUAAUUGAUUCAGAUAUUUCCAAUUCACUCUUUGUCAGGAACAUCUAAAAUGAAAAUGUAUCCAUAAUAUUGUUUCCAUAAUAAUUUGGGUAACAUUGCUAUUGUUGAACCAUAAAUAAAGUACAUCAGCUUCUCUUUAAC
ensembl:lncRNA